ACAAAGGAGAGCUGUAAUUCAACAGAUAUGGACAUUGAUGUGUCUGCAAACAAGGGUAAAGGGAAAGCUAUUGUGUCAGCUUCUGAAGCAAGUGAAGCUGAUAGCCAUGAAUUGUCUGCAUCUAUGGCUAAGAUUGUGUCAGCUUCUGAAGAAAGAGAAGCUGAUAGCCAUGAAUUGUCUGCAUCUAUGGCUAAGAUUGUAUUCAUUUUGAAGCUUCUGACUGAGAUUUUUUUGAUGUACACUGCUUCAGUUCAUAUUCUGCUUCGAAGAGAUUCUGAAGUUAGCAGCUGCAUAGCUGCUCCUCAACGG
rnacentral:lncRNA from 1 species